rnacentral:misc_RNA from 1 species
GAUGAAGAACGCAGCGAAAUGCGAUGAGUAAUGUGAAUUGCAGAAUUCAGUGAAUCAUCGAAUCUUUGAACGCACAUUGCGCCCCUUGGUAUUCCGAGGGGCAUGCCUGUUCGAGCGUCAUUAUAACCCCUCAAGCUCAGCUUGGUGUUGGGGCCUGCUGCACUGGCAGCCCUUAAAAUCAGUGGCGGCGCCAUCUGGCUCUAAGCGUAGUAAUUCUUCUCGCUAUGGAGUCCUGGUGGAUGCUUGCCAUCAACCCCCAAUUUUUCUAUGGUUGACCUCGGAUCAGGUAGGGAUACCCGCUGAACUUAAGCAUAUCAAUAAGCGGAGGA